UUGUUUUAACAGAGCAACAAUAAUGUUGAUAUUAGAUGUAUUGUUUAUGAUAAAUUCUCAAUAACAUUGAUGUCACAUGCAUUGUCUUUCUGAUUUACAUGGAGUAUGAUGUGAGUGAAAAAGUGUAUAUUUAAUAGAUUUAAGCACCACCUUUUUAUGCCUUCAGAUCGAAUGAUCGGGGUAUAAUGUUUUUGGCCUGUCUUUCUGUCUGCCAUCAUGGUAUGUGUGUGUCUGUCUGUUAUUGUACGUGUGUGUCUGUCAUUGUAUGUGUGUGUCUGUCCCAAAUUUUUAUGCCCCCCUUCGAAGAAGAGGGGGUAUAUUGCUUUGCUCAUGUCGGUCGGUCGGUCCGUCCACCAGGUGGUUGUCAGACGAUAACUCAAGAACGCUUGGGCCUAGGAUCAUGAAACUUCAUAGGUACAUUGAUCAUGACUCGCAGAUGACCCCUAUUGAUUUUGAGGUCACUAGGUCAAAGGUCAAGGUCACAGUGACCCGAAAUAGUAAAAUGGUUUCCGGAUGAUAACUCAAGAACGCUUAGGCCUAGGAUCAUGAAACUUGAUAGGUAGAUUGAUCAGGACUCACAGGACCCCUAUUGAUUUUCAGGUCACUAGGUCAAAGGUCAAGGUCAC